rnacentral:rRNA from 1 species
ACACGACUACAUUAGAUACCCGUGUAGUCCAGGGUGUAAACGCUGCGGGCUUGGUGUUGGGGGUCCUUAGUGGGCGCCCAGUGCCGGAGAGAAGUUGUUAAGCCUGCUGCUUGGGGAGUAUGUCCGCAAGGAUGAAACUUAAAGGAAUUGGCGGGGGAGCACCACAACGGGUGGAGCUUGCGGUUUAAUUGGAUUCAACGCCGGAAAUCUUACCGGGACCGACAGCAACAUGAAGGCCAGGCUGAAGACUUUGCCGGAUUAGCUG